GGGGGGGGGGGGGGGGGGGGGGGGGGGGGGGGGGGGGGGGGGGGGGGGGGGGGGGGGGGGGGGGGGGGGGGGGGGGGGGGGGGGGGGGGGGGGGGGGGGGGGGGGGGGGGGGGGGGGGGGGGGGGGGGGGGGGGGGGGGGGGGGGGGGGGGGGGGGGGGGGGGGGGGGGGGGGGGGGGGGGGGGGGGGGGGGGGGGGGGGGGGGGGGGGGGGGGGGGGGGGGGGGGGGGGGGGGGGGGGGGGGGGGGGGGGGGGGGGGGGGGGGGGGGGGGGGGGGGGGGGGGGGGGGGGGGGGGGGGGGGGGGGGGGGGGGGGGGGGGGGGGGGGGGGGGGGGGGGGGGGGGGGGGGGGGGGGGGGGGGGGGGGGGGGGGGGGGGGGGGGGGGGGGGGGGGGGGGGGGGGGGGGGGGGGGGGGGGGGGGGGGGGGGGGGGGGGGGGGGGGGGGGGGGGGGGGGGGGGGGGGGGGGGGGGGGGGGGGGGGGGGGGGGGGGGGGGGGGGGGGGGGGGGGGGGGGGGGGGGGGGGGGGGGGGGGGGGGGGGGGGGGGGGGGGGGGGGGGGGGGGGGGGGGGGGGGGGGGGGGGGGGGGGGGGGGGGGGGGGGGGGGGGGGGGGGGGGGGGGGGGGGGGGGGGGGGGGGGGGGGGGGGGGGGGGGGGGGGGGGGGGGGGGGGGGGGGGGGGGGGGGGGGGGGGGGGGGGGGGGGGGGGGGGGGGGGGGGGGGGGGGGGGGGGGGGGGGGGGGGGGGGGGGGGGGGGGGGGGGGGGGGGGGGGGGGGGGGGGGGGGGGGGGGGGGGGGGGGGGGGGGGGGGGGGGGGGGGGGGGGGGGGGGGGGGGGGGGGGGGGGGGGGGGGGGGGGGGGGGGGGGGGGGGGGGGGGGGGGGGGGGGGGGGGGGGGGGGGGGGGGGGGGGGGGGGGGGGGGGGGGGGGGGGGGGGGGGGGGGGGGGGGGGGGGGGGGGGGGGGGGGGGGGGGGGGGGGGGGGGGGGGGGGGGGGGGGGGGGGGGGGGGGGGGGGGGGGGGGGGGGGGGGGGGGGGGGGGGGGGGGGGGGGGGGGGGGGGGGGGGGGGGGGGGAAUGAUACACUAACUAACAAGGCCAUUUGUCUUGUGUUAAUUACAGCCAUUACCUUUUAAUACCAAACUGGCAAAAACA
rnacentral:lncRNA from 1 species